rnacentral:rRNA from 1 species
UAGGGAAUAUUGCACAAUGGGCGAAAGCCUGAUGCAGCAACGCCGCGUGAGCGAUGAAGGCCUUCGGGUCGUAAAGCUCUGUCCUCAAGGAAGAUAAUGACGGUACUUGAGGAGGAAGCCCCGGCUAACUACGUGCCAGCAGCCGCGGUAAUACAUAGGGGGCUAGCGUUAUCCGGAAUUACUGGGCGUAAAGGGUGCGUAGGUGGUUUCUUAAGUCAGAGGUGAAAGGCUACGGCUCAACCGUAGUAAGCCUUUGAAACUGGGAAACUUGAGUGCAGGAGAGGAGAGUGGAAUUCCUAGUGUAGCGGUGAAAUGCGUAGAUAUUCGGAGGAACACCAGUGGCGAAGGCGACUCUCUGGUCUGUAACUGACGCUGAGGCACGAAAGCGUGGGGAGCAAACA